rnacentral:snRNA from 1 species
GUAAGCUGUACCCGCAUAUACUAAAAUUGGAACAAUACAGAGAAGAUUAGCAUGGCCCCGGCGCAAGUUGAAGAAUGGUAUACGAUCGUCGUUUGGAGUAUUU